rnacentral:rRNA from 1 species
GACGGGUGAGUAAUACUUAGGAAUCUACCUAGUAGUGGGGGAUAGCUCGGGGAAACUCGAAUUAAUACCGCAUACGACCUACGGGAGAAAGGGGGCAACUUGUUGCUCUCGCUAUUAGAUGAGCCUAAGUCGGAUUAGCUAGAUGGUGGGGUAAAGGCCUACCAUGGCGACGAUCUGUAGCUGGUCUGAGAGGAUGAUCAGCCACACCGGGACUGAGACACGGCCCGGACUCCUACGGGAGGCAGCAGUGGGGAAUAUUGGACAAUGGGGGAAACCCUGAUCCAGCCAUGCCGCGUGUGUGAAGAAGGCCUUUUGGUUGUAAAGCACUUUAAGCAGUGAAGAAGACUCCAUGGUUAAUACCCAUGGACGAUGACAUUAGCUGCAGAAUAAGCACCGGCUAACUCUGUGCCAGCAGCCGCGGUAAUACAGAGGGUGCAAGCGUUAAUCGGAAUUACUGGGCGUAAAGGGAGCGUAGGUGGCUCGAUAAGUCAGAUGUGAAAUCCCCGGGCUCAACCUGGGAACUGCAUCUGAUACUGUUGAGCUAGAGUAUGUGAGAGGAAGGUAGAAUUCCAGGUGUAGCGGUGAAAUGCGUAGAGAUCUGGAGGAAUACCGAUGGCGAAGGCAGCCUUCUGGCAUAAUACUGACACUGAGGCUCGAAAGCGUGGGUAGCAAACAGGAUUAGAUACCCUGGUAGUCCACGCCGUAAACGAUGUCUACUAGUCGUUGGGUCCCUUGAGGACUUAGUGACGCAGCUAACGCAAUAAGUAGACCGCCUGGGGAGUACGGCCGCAAGGUUAAAACUCAAAUGAAUUGACGGGGGCCCGCACAAGCGGUGGAGCAUGUGGUUUAAUUCGAUGCAACGCGAAGAACCUUACCUGGUCUUGACAUAUCUAGAAUCCUGCAGAGAUGCGGGAGUGCCUUCGGGAAUUAGAAUACAGGUGCUGCAUGGCUGUCGUCAGCUCGUGUCGUGAGAUGUUGGGUUAAGUCCCGCAACGAGCGCAACCCUUGUCCUUAGUUACCAGCGGGUUAAGCCGGGAACUCUAAGGAUACUGCCAGUGACAAACUGGAGGAAGGCGGGGACGACGUCAAGUCAUCAUGGCCCUUACGACCAGGGCUACACACGUGCUACAAUGGUAGGUACAGAGGGCAGCUACACAGCGAUGUGAUGCGAAUCUCAAAAAGCCUAUCGUAGUCCGGAUUGGAGUCUGCAACUCGACUCCAUGAAGUAGGAAUCGCU